rnacentral:rRNA from 1 species
GAGUUUGAUCGUGGCUCAGAUUGAACGCUGGCGGCAGGCCUAACACAUGCAAGUCGAGCGGAUGAAGGGAGCUUGCUCCUGGAUUCAGCGGCGGACGGGUGAGUAAUGCCUAGGAAUCUGCCUGGUAGUGGGGGAUAACGUCCGGAAACGGGCGCUAAUACCGCAUACGUCCUGAGGGAGAAAGUGGGGGAUCUUCGGACCUCACGCUAUCAGAUGAGCCUAGGUCGGAUUAGCUAGUUGGUGGGGUAAAGGCCUACCAAGGCGACGAUCCGUAACUGGUCUGAGAGGAUGAUCAGUCACACUGGAACUGAGACACGGUCCAGACUCCUACGGGAGGCAGCAGUGGGGAAUACUGGACAAUGGGCGAAAGCCUGAUCCAGCCAUGCCGCGUGUGUGAAGAAGGUCUUCGGAUUGUAAAGCACUUUAAGUUGGGAGGAAGGGCAGUAAGUUAAUACCUUGCUGUUUUGACGUUACCAACAGAAUAAGCACCGGCUAACUUCGUGCCAGCCGCCGCGGUAACACCG